GUAGGGUGCAAGCGUUAUCCGGAAUCACUGGGCGUAAAGCGUGCGUAGGCGGCGUGUUAAGUGAGAUGUUAAAUCGUGUGGCUCAACCAUAUCGAUGCAUCUCAUACUGGCAUGCUAGAGGAAGGCAGAGGCAAGUGGAAUUUGUAGUGUAGCAGUGAAAUGCGUAGAUAUUACAAGGAACACCAAUGGCGAAGGCAGCUUGCUGGGCCUUUUCUGACGCUGAGGUACGAAAGCGUGGGGAGCGAACAGGAUUAGAUACCCUGGUAGUCCACGCCGUAAACGAUGCAUACUAGUUGUAUGGGGUAUCGACCCCCUGUGUAACGAAGCUAACGCGAUAAGUAUGCCGCCUGGGAAGUACGGCCGCAAGGCUA
rnacentral:rRNA from 1 species